CUCCCCUCCCCUCCAGCAACGCGCGGCGCUCCCAUCCCCCGGCAGCCCACCAGGUGGCGCUCGCUCCCACCCGGCCGCCGCGCCGACGCCCGUGACGUCAGCCGCCCGGCUCCAUUUGAGCGCCUCUCGGCAGCCGAGAACUCGGACUUCCCGUGUGGCUCACAACAUAACUACUCGCGUUGCUUCUACAGUGGCUGUGGCUCGACCCCUAGCCUGGGAACCUCCAUAUGCCGCAGCCCCGCGGCGGCAGAUGGCACUCGUUCUGCCGCUUUUUCCUGGCUGUGUGCGAUGCCAUCGCAUAGAUGUCCCCGGGUCUGCGAAGUGCACUCACCUGUCAGUGGACCUUUAGGUGGCUUCCAGAUCUUGGCUCUGGUGAGUAGUGAGGCGACAGACAGAGGGUGCCCGGGUCUGCUUCCGGGAAAGUUUGGUCCCGGGAAAUGGAGCUGUUGGAGGCCGGCUUCGGUCUUUGUGUGGGCCG
rnacentral:lncRNA from 1 species